GUGCCAUGGCACAUUAGCUAUUUACAUGGCGGACUUUGAUUCCUGUUGCUAAGGAAUGUGUGGUUAUAUUUCAGCAAGUGUGAAGCAUGGAAGCUGCAGAAGUGAUAAGGUGUUGGGUGGUGUCCAUGUGCACUCACCAAUUCAAACCCUGAAGAGUCAGCUGACAAAUUCCAUCGCUUCUCUUGACCAUCUUGGCUUUGAUGUCAUAUCAUCUCUGCCCAAAGCUCUUCUGCUCUCACACCUCAGAUGCCUCAGUGAAUGCUGGCGAGGGCAACUUGAAAGCUUGAGGUGAUAGAGAGAGACAGUGGUAGCUGCCGAACAGUGCUACUGACUUAAGCACAAUCUCAAGAGCCUUCCUGUCAAAUUGUACCAUGCUGUCGGAGGGAAAAUAAAAAAAAUAAAAAAUAAA
rnacentral:lncRNA from 1 species